GAAGAAAAUAGUCAAAAGACAGGGAACUGAGGGUCUCUAUUAGGCCCCAAUGCUGUCUCGUGGUUAUUACCUGCAAGAAAUCCUUUCCUCUUAGUCUUAGUUAGGUUGAUCUAUCUGUCUGUCUGUCCAUCUCUCUAUUUGUUUUUAGUCCCAGUUCUCUUUACAUUUACUAGCCCUUGAAACCUUUCCCUUUGAUACAGCUGGGGAAUAUUCUAAGAGAGUAUCUGUCAAUACUGAGAAUAAAUAAAAAUAAAAGGAUCAGCCUCAUUUGUGAAUAGCUGUGAAAACAUAAGAGUCUGCCUGUCACAAAGGAAGCAGAAGUCUGCUGGCUUAGUGUUUGGAUUGUAGAAACACACUAAUGGUAAUAGUAGUACUCUCAUCGUGAUCAUAGUGAAUAACAAUAACAAUAAUAGUACUUAAUGACUGUGGAAUCUAACGCCCAUGUUUAAAGAUUUGCUGCUGGACAGGCCUGGCACGGGGCGAAGUUUCUGGACUGUCCUGUGGUGCUCCAGGUUGACUCUGCAUGGUAAAUGCACUUUCAGCACAGGUGACCAAGAGCAGAUGCUUAUGCCAAAGAAAGACCAGAGGGAGCUGGAGGAGUAAAGGCUGAAAGGCAUCUGCUGCUCCAAGAACGCAGAACACUACUUUCAAAGCGGAUACCUUUUUUGGAGCUGUGCAUUCCAAAUCUUGACAACUGGAGUCAAAACAGCGCCUGGCAGUAUGACUGACAACCACACAUCGGCGAGCGGCUCCAGUCACUCAACGCAGAAAGAGCUGGAAGGCUUCCACCUCCCUGCCUGCCUCCGC
rnacentral:lncRNA from 12 species